rnacentral:lncRNA from 1 species
AUGACUUAUCCUUGUGUUUUUGUUUCUAAAGACUUGACGCUGGAGAGUCUAAGUGAUGAGGAGAUUCCUCCAGUAGAGACAAGGUCUAAAGAUGGCCCGUUUUUAAGAUGCUCACCACGAUGCAAAGAUGAAGAAGAUGAUGAUGAUGAUCUUGAUGCCCACAUAACAGCUCAGAAAGAAAACGGUAGGUACCAUGAGAUAACUCACUUCCCGAGGGAAAAACUUGCUAGCUUCAGUGUAUAGAAACCUGAUUCUGGGUUCCUGCUGGGAAAGAGGCUUGGGGUUCUCGUGAAAGUGAUUCUGCCAGUGUAGAACUCUGACCCGAGAAGCUGUAGGAAGGUUUGUCGACCCAGAAGAAAGAUUAGGGGAUCAUGUAUGAAGCAGCAUGGGGUGGGAGAAUAGCCCAUCACUCAGCUUCAGCUGAAGUAGGAGGAGUGGGUGAGUCACUCUCUCUAAUGACUUAUCCUUGUGUUUUUGUUUCUAAAGACUUGACGCUGGAGAGUCUAAGUGACGAGGAGAUUCAUCCAGGUAGGCAACUACGUGCCAGGAAAAACCCAAUGGGAAAAGGUUCCCAGGAGCCUCCAGGUUAUCCCUGCUGCUUGUGAGGAGGGGCUGAGGGAGGGGGUAUGAAAUCAGAAAGAAAAUGGAAACAUGUGUGAGGUCUGG